rnacentral:ncRNA from 1 species
UCUCGAAAAUGGCAAAUGUCGUGAAAACGGCAGACGCAAAGCCACGGGUCUAAGGCUUUUUAAUAAGCUAUGACAGCCGGGUUGCCGAA